CCACGCACUUGACCGAGCCCGCGCCCGCGCCCGCGGCGGCGUCGGAGGUGGAGGUCGCCUCCAGCGUCGACAGGUCGUGGAGCGCCACGCACGACGGCCGCGCGACGACGAGGCCGGGCAGGGAGCCCCCCGUCGCCGCGACGACGGCGGCGCACGGCGAGGGGCGCGCGGACAGAGGGAGGAGCGUGGCGACGUGGACGAACGACGCGGCGAGGCUAGCGCUCGUCGCUGAGGAGAGCGAAGGGAGGGACGUCGAGGACGACGACUCCGACACGGCCGCCGCCGCCGCGGACGACGUGGAGACGGUCGACGAGGAGGACGACACCGCUGUGGCCCGCUUGGUGCUGCUGCUUGCGCUCCCCUCCCCGUCUCCGUCGCCGGUGCCGGUGCCGGUGGCCAUGCAGAGGCGCGGAAGAAGCUUCAUUUGGACCGUGACGGGCUACCACUCUGUCCCUGACUCCCUGUGGUCUGGUUGUGCGUGGCACACAGCUCGAGACGUCGAGUAGAAUGAGUGAGCGACGGGUCAGCCGAGGCUCGACUGCAAUGCUAGUCUAUU
rnacentral:misc_RNA from 1 species